UACGAAGGGGGCUAGCGUUGCUCGGAAUGACUGGGCGUAAAGGGCGCGUAGGCGGAUUGUACAGUCAGAUGUGAAAUUCCUGGGCUCAACCUGGGGGCUGCAUUUGAUACGUAUGGUCUAGAGUUCGGAAGAGGGUCGUGGAAUUCCCAGUGUAGAGGUGAAAUUCGUAGAUAUUGGGAAGAACACCGGUGGCGAAGGCGGCGACCUGGUCCGGGACUGACGCUGAGGCGCGAAAGCGUGGGGAGCAAACAGG
rnacentral:rRNA from 1 species